AAGCACCUUGUCUGUGGCUGAUCGUGUCCAUGGGAUCUGCAGCUGCAUGCGAGAACAACCUGGAGAGACUUUGACAGCACAGGUCGCCCUGCAGCUGCCACUCACCUUUCCUAUAAGC